UACGGGGGGGGCAAGCGUUGUUCGGAAUUACUGGGCGUAAAGGGCUCGUAGGCGGCCAACUAAGUCAUACGUGAAAUCCCUCAGCUUAACUGGGGAACUGCGUCUGAUACUGGAUGGCUUGGAUUCGGGAGAGGAAUGCGGAAUUCCAGGUGUAGCGGUGAAAUGCGUAGAUAUCUGGAGGAACACCGGUGGCGAAGGCGGCAUUCUGGACCGACAUUGACGCUGAGGAGCGAAAGCCAGGGGAGCAAACGGG
rnacentral:rRNA from 1 species